GUCUGCGCCUCUUUUCUGUUGAACGAUCCACGCGCUCUCACAGAGAACCCUGGAAUUUCGCUUCUGUGCUUCUUUCCCAAAAAUCGAAUCUUUUCCGUAUCAUUCUCGUCCCAACUAUCACCCACGAUGUCGAAAGACAUCUCAUUCGUCUUUGGGCGUGUAGCGCUAUGUUUACUCGCGUGAAACACGGAUUAACGACGACAAAAAAAACACAUAUCUAAUGCAUACAAAAUACCGUUUCGUUUCCUAGUACGUGAAAAGGAACGGCGUUAGAUCUUGAAAUAUCUAACAACCGUUCUACAUAAGACAUCGUUUGCCUAUAACGAAAGUUCUAGUGUAGCGAAUCGUACGAAGAAUGUACAAAAACAUGAGUCGAAUAUUAAUUUUUCUUUUUUUCAUCGUAUACACGCUUAUGUUUAGGUUGCGACGGUCGUGUGCAUAAGCCGGCAGUGCUCUCUCUCGAUUCGAUUUCGAUACAGUUUAGGUAUAUAACUUCCGUAUCUCUGAGAUUCAAGCUUCAUACUGUGAUAAUUAUGCGAAUAUUCGUGACGUACAACUCAUUAUUGUAUCAGCGCGGACAACCGUACGCCGCGUAUGGCUAUUUCACAAUUUUCAUUGUACCAUCUGCGGUAACAUACAAGCAUAGUUGGUAACAGGAUACUGUAAACUGUUUUAUGUUCCUAGCCAAACAGCCACGCACACCAGCGAUUUGUACAUUGAAAAAAGAAUUUUAUUGACGCUGCUACGCAAUAUCAUGACACAUUUUACAUCCCCUGGGAAACAUCGCGUCGUGUCGCGUUUCUUGCAUUCGUGAAAUUAUUAUUAAAGGGAAUAAGUAAUUAUUAUAAAUAGUUAUUAAUCUGUUAAAUGCGGAAUUUAAUUUCAAAAAUCCUUUACAGAGCGCGCAGAUAAAAUCAAGCAAUGACGAAUAUACACGUCGAAUGCGGAACAAAUAUUCUUAUUAUAAAUUUUACGAAAAAAAUGGCACAUCUUCGAAGUGGAUUUGCUUUUGAUGGUGUAGCUGAUAUAAAGUUAUAUAAGCUGAUAUAGAACACAAAACAAUUCGAGGAAUAGCUGAUAUACACAACAAAGUACACAAAACAAUUCGGGGAAUAGUCGAUAUAUGCACUUAUGGGAAUAAUCAUGUAAUCAAAUUUUUUUUUUAUUAACAUGAUAUUUACUGAAAGUAUAAAGGAAACAUACCACUAGAUGUCAUUUAUAUUAUUUUUUAUUAAAACUGAGUUUUUAUAGUAAA